rnacentral:rRNA from 1 species
AUUGAACGCUGGCGGCAGGCCUAACACAUGCAAGUCGAACGAGUGGCGGACGGGUGAGUAAUGUCUGGGACACCGCCCUGGGGAGGGGGAUAACUACUGGAAACGGUCGCUUAUACCGCAUACUAUCGGAUGUCCCCCGAUGGUAUUAGCUUGUGGGUGGGGUAACGGCUCACCUAGGCGACGAGCCCUAGCUGGUGUGAGCGGAUGACCAGCCACACGGGAACUGAGACAGGGUCAAGAGUCCGACGGUAGGCAGCAGUGUGGAAUAUUGCACAAUGGUCGCAAGCCUGAUGCAGCCAUGCCGCGUGUAUUAAGAAGGCCUUCGGGUUGUAAAGUACUUUCAGCGGGGAGGCGUUACUCGCAGAAGAAGCACCGGCUAACUCCGUGCCAGCAGCCGCGGUAAUUC